CCUACGGGAGGCAGCAGUGAGGAAUAUUUGUCAAUGGGCGCGAGCCUGAACCAGCCAAGUCGCGUGAGGGAAGAAGGUCCUAUGGAUUGUAAACCUCUUUUGUCGGGGAGCAAAAGACGCCACGCGUUGCGUUCCGAGCGUACCCGAAAAAAAAGCAUCGGCUAAAUCCGUGCCAGCAGCCGCGGUAAUACGGAGGAUGCGAGCGUUAUCCGGAGUUAUUGGGUUUAAAGGGUGCGCAGGCGGAAGGUCAAGUCAGCGGUAAAAUUGAGGGGCUCAACCUCUUCGAGCCGUUGAAACUGGUUUUAUUGAGUGAGUGAGAAGUAUGCGGAAUGCGUGGUGUAGCGGUGAAAUGCAUAGAUAUCACGAAGAACUCCGAUUGCGAAGGCAGCUCACUGGACUGCAACUGACACUGAGGCUCGAAAGUGUGGGUAUCAAACAGGAUUAGAUACCCCAGUAGUC
rnacentral:rRNA from 1 species